rnacentral:pre_miRNA from 1 species
AAUAUACUCCCUCCGUCUAAAAAUACUUGUCAUCAAAAUGGACAAAAAAGGAUGUAUCUAGAACUAAAAUACGUCUAGAUACAUCUCCUUUUAUCCAUUUUGAUGACAAGUAUUUCUAGACGGAGGGAGUACAUG